GCGUCAUUAUCAACCCUCAAGCCUGGCUUGCUGUUGGACCUUUGUCGUCAGGACAAGUCCCAAAGAUAAUGACAGAGUUGUCGGACCCUAGAUGCAACGAGCUUUCAUUAGCACGCAUGGAUGGACCGAUUGCUCUGGUCUUAACCAAUAUUUUUUAUCAGGUUGACCUCGGAUCAGGUAGGAAUACCCGCUGAACUUAA
rnacentral:misc_RNA from 1 species